UUUGGAGGGCAAGUCUGGUGCCAGCAGCCGCGGUAAUUCCAGCUCCCAUAGCGUAUAUUAAAGUUGUUGCAGUUAAAAAGCUCGUAGUUGAAUUUCGGGGUUAGUAAGUUGGUCGUGCCACUGGUAUGUACUGGCUUUACUGAUUCCUCCUUCUUGAAGAACUGUAAUGCCUUUAAUUUGGGGUUGCGGGAAAACAGGACUGUUACUUUGAAAAAAUUAAAGUGUUUAA
rnacentral:rRNA from 1 species